UAUUAGUACUGACAGUAACUUUCCAUGACAGUAAAAAAUGGAGCAUAGCGGACAACUUGAACGCUGCUUUUCAUUGCCCUCGUUGCUUGGUCCAUCUAAAGCUCCCAGGAGAACAGACCAAGAACUCACAAUCCAACCUGAAGCAGGAAGACCCUGUAGUCUUUAUAGGCCCACUGCUACUGCUGGCUUUUUAGACAAGUUGUAUAGACAGAAUUUUUGGUAUCUGUGAGGCAUUUAGAUUCAUUGCAAACACUCAUGAGCCUUCUUACUGGUAUCUAGCACUAUUUCUUCUACCUAAGUGAAGUUGUAGUUAUUCACUAUAAUAAUGCUUGAAAAAAUGUAUAUAUUUUUCCUCUUCAGACUUAUAUAAUAAGAGAAUUAAAGAGAAAUGUUGUAUACAAUUUAUUUUUGGGGGGUUCACUGUGGGUCAGUGUUAGAUAUAUUAUGUGUUACCACAUUAUUAGUGACAAAUUACUGUGAAGCUUUUUCAGUAUGUAGAUAAAAUGAUAACAUAAUAUCCACUGAAAAGUGGUUAACUUGGAUCAACAUUUAAAAAAAAUAUUAGUCACCAGCCACCAUUUCCCAAACCUUCAGCAUUUGUUUUUCAUUUAUAAAUUGUGGUGGCAGAACAUCGAUCACACUGUGUCAAAGACUUAAAGAAAUAUCACUUUGAGAAGAAGGAUUUAGUCAAAGAAUGUACAUUGUUAACAGAAAUGGUAGUAAUAACGUAUGAAGUGUAACAUAUACACCAUGUAUGGCUUCCAGCUGUUUGGCUUCACAGUUAUUAUGUGCACUGUCAAAGAAUAAAUAGAUAUUUGGAUAACGCAGCAAAACUUAACAUGAAUUUUGAGAGUGAUCUUAAAAGCUAGUUCAAGAAAAUUAAAUACAUUUUCCUAGAUAUAUUUUCUCUGUUGGAUCUACAGCCUUUUUGUAAAAUUGCUAGCUUUCCAGAUAUAAUGUGUACAAUUUCAAGUAAGUAGUAUGGUUAUUAACAUUCAUUCAGAUUCAAUUAUUCUAAUACUGGUUUAAAUCUAGACAAGUAUAACUGUAGAUUUUGGCAAUUUCAGCUUUUAGGGGAAAUAUAUUCGAGAGAAUUGCAUCAGGUCAGGAUAUACUAAAAAGGGAUCUUGUUGUACUAUGGUUGUAUUAUUCCACUGUCUGACCUUUUGUAUUUUUGUGUGUGUGUUUCUUCCUUUAAAAAAAAAAUAACAAAAAGAUUUUAAAGAUCAGGAUUUCCCUGAAGUGCACAGAAGGACCACUUUCGUAAGUCUUUUGAGCAAUCACGUUUUUAACUGGAAAGUAUUUCUGCUUCUUGUACUAUUUCCUGUAUACAUUUAUAAAGUCUUGACAACUUAACCCAAAUAGAAAAUUUGGUUUUAUAUUAAAUAUAAUGUCCUUCAGAACUCCGUAAUUUUUUUAAGACACAGCAUUUAACUGACAACACUGAGAUUUGAAUUUGAAGUGUAUCAGCAGUUCACUGUGUUGAAAAAACUUGGAACUGACAAAAUAGGACCUGAUAUGCUUAUGCAGAUAGGAAUCCUAUUCGUAAACCUGCGUUUGAAGGCUCUUAUUUUGGCCAUGAAAACAAGUACGAUUUACAAACAAGAACUUCUCUUGUCAUCCUCCCAAUACUUUUGCCAAGAAAUUUUAGGACUGUAAGAUAACAGAAAAUAAGAGACAUGAUUUAAGAGGUUAAGUAUCUCUACAGUCUGUGCCGUGGGCUUCGGCCUGAAAUAUGAAGGAGGCUGCCAACCCUCCAAAAUAUAACAAAAGUGAAGCAAUGAAAUGAAUUAUAAUCUUUCUGCUAGGUGUUUCAUUUCAGCAAAUGGCCUAUAAGUUGGAACAAGAUAAAAACACAGUAAUUAUGACUACACAUAAUGCAGGUCAUUGUUCAUAUGUAUAUACAUACCUUAUACAAUAAAGUGAACUUUUUGUUAGAUCAUUUUUUUUAAAAAUAUAUUUGCAUGGAAGAAAAUGACAGGAUUUAGCUCUUACUGUCAUUUCAGGAAAAAAUUGCGUUGGGGAGAAAGGAGACUAAGUAAUUUAGCUACUGAGCCAGAGCAUAGAAAAUAACUGCUUCCGUUUCUGUGUGUUAUUCCAUCUGAUUCACUGUUCUUUCUGUACUCAUUUUUUAGAACUACACUUGACUCUCUUCUACUUGUGGUGAAGCUAUUCACCACUGCUAUCGUAUUUCCAUCUCUAGCAAAUUUUUUUUGCCCUGUCUUGCCAUAAAUAGUAUUCUUGGCUACCCUUCUGAGUUAGUCUUUGCUGUUAGAUGAUAAGGCAGUUAAGUCUGUGGUUUAUCUGUCUGUGUUACUAUUUGUAAGAAAAAAAAAUGAAUUCUCAAUCCUGAUUCUGGGUCUGGAACACUGUGAGCAAAGUCCCAAGCUUCUAGAAAGCUGCUCUGAAGUCAGAAGUAAAAAAAAAUGAAUUAUGAAAUACCACAACAGCUCACAUGCUCAUUCAUAUUAGUCUAAUUGCAAGAUUUGGGUCAAAAGCAAUGUCAUUUUUUCAUGUCUAUGCAGAUGGUGUACAAGCAACUUCUAUUCAUUCAGGUGCUCGUAAAUUACAUAAGUCACAUUACUACCAAAACAUGUCCAGGGGUUCCAAAGGCACAAUUAUAUUUCAAAACUGGGAACACUGUGCAAAAUGGUAAAGUGACUUUUUAAGGAACUUCAGUGCAGAUGAGUGGAAUUUGCAUUUUCCAGAGCAUUGCCCUGUUCUUGAACAACUGAUAGCUCCUUCUGUUUCACUGUUGCCAGCAACACUGAUUCGUAAGCUGCCCAACCAGCUUAAAAAUUAUAGUUACUGAAAGUGGGUGAUUUGUAAAAGAGAAGUUGAAGUCUGCAGAUGAACCUGCAAAAAAGGUGGCUUUUUUCAACUGUGAAUGCUGUUCACAUUCACAGUGCAUUGCUAAUUAUGCGGUAGAACCUUGUUAGUAUGAAUUUCUUCCAAGAAAGAAAGGUAAGCUGAGAGUAUUUUUCAUACUUUCUCUACAAAAUAAAAAUGCCUGCAACAUAUGCUCAGCUGUGAAGAACUGGGCCCAGAAAAAGAGAAUUCCACAUCCAGGGGAAAAUACAAUACAAAAUCAGUUGCAAAACCAUUGUUGAUAUUAGGAAGAGUUCACUUUUGAAUUUUGAAAUCUGAGCAAGACAUUUAUCUCAUUUUUAUGUGUUAAAACUGGAUAAGCAGUUUUGCAUAUUAAGAAGUAUUGAAAGAUUGUGUUCAUCUGAGAAAAAAAGACCAAUUAAAAAAAAAAAUAUCUAAAGAUUAAUUAGCCCUUCUCAGUGAGUUAAAUUCUUUCUUUGUCUAGAUCAAUAUAAAUUAGACAAUUACAUUUCUUUUACACUGAAGAAAUCUCUCCUGAGCCUUAUAAGGAGUUAAGAGCUUCUGCUGUGAAUGGAAGGAUUCGUCAUACAUUUCAAAGCUGUUGUUUUCUUAAAAUUAUUAUUUUAUUUUAAAAUGUUUUGCAUAUCCUAAAGUCUCUGUAUUUUAAUUGACUCUUGCUGAUCUCUAAACCUUACCUCGCUUGCUGGCACUUUCCUACUCCCUGGAAAACACUUGAGAUACAAUUUAUUUAUUGUAAUUUCACAGUUAUUUCAGCUUCGUUUGUCACUAACGUCCCCUUACACAAGUGCAGAAGUAUGUAACAAUGAAAAAUAAUGGGCAGGAAAACACUUAAACAAACAUUUCCAAAACUGCAGGAGAGUUAGGUCUGGCAUGUGAGAAAAGAAUGAAGAGUCAGGUCAUCGGGAUAAAAAUGAUUCCUUAUUUUCUUCCAAACAGUGUUCUUCUCCUCACAGGGAUACCGAACUAGAAAUGUUACUGGUAACAAAAAGAAUUGAGCCACCACUUCUGUGAAUUUACACAGACCCUUCCAGGAAUUCUUGCAAGUCAUUCAGAGAGAAGCAACUCUUACUUUCGGAGGCCAAUGUUCAGUGAAUUCUCAACGAAUGAUGUAACAAAGUACUGGUACACAUUCAGUUGGCAUAUGGCUGAGUAACACUAUGAGGAAGGACCCUGACAAGCGAGAACACCUUGAACAAGAAUUGCAUAGGGUAGUCAAAGCCUAUGAUACAAGGUUCUGGGAACUCAGAAGAUUCAGUGAAAGCUUUGUAACAGAUAAAAAUGAUAUAUAUUUGAGUAUAUAAUAGUGCUAUCAGUUCACUUGUUUCUGUUUGUUAAUGUUGAGGUAUCUGUUUUUCCUAAAACUCUGACUACCAAACACUUGUGUUUAAAUGAAAAUCCUAACUAAGAAUGUAAUUGUAUAACAACUAUCAUGUCACCAUCUCUCCCAGUCUGGCCCUGAACCUCCUGAAAUUCAUUCCUAGAUGUGAAAAUCUACAGAGUGUAAAAAUAAUAGAUUUUUUUUUUUGGUCUAUUUUAUGUAUUAGUUAAAAGUAACAUUAAAUAUACUGAAGGUAAUAUCUUUAGAUCCAUCUUAUAGAGGUCUUUGAUUUUAAAUGUGUUAUAGCAUUGAAGAAAAACAUUUGUCAUACACAGAUGUGGUUAAUCUUGUUGAUGACACUGAAAGAAUCAAGGACACAAAUCAGUUAAGAAUGUAAAUGAGAUUGUGUAUGUCUUUACUGUUAGUUCAGAUUUUUAAAACUGGCAGAAGUGUAAACGAACAACAAUCCAUCUUAAUGAUAUUUUCAUUGUGACCUAAGAGAUCUGAAUACCUUAACAAAUUCAAGUUCGUUCAGUUUAAUUUAUCGCGUUUAAUCAAUUCCUUUCAAGUUGUCAAAAAUAUGAAAUCAGAGUGAUUAUUUAUAAAUAGAUUUAUUUGAGUUUGUGGAAAUUUCAAAGGAAUAUAUUUCUAUUUGAUAUGAUUUGUCUUUGUUCACCUUUUAUUCAGUCUCAGUUUUAAUUUAUGUUCCUUUUUGUUUCUUAAUCAGAACAGAGAAUCUCUUUAAACUUUAAGGUUUACAAAUUGUGCACCUGGGUUCUACAGAACAAGUCUUAAAAGUGAAAAAGAAAAAAAGGCAAAAUAUAGGCCUAGUUUUGCUUCUGUACUUUUUUUUGAAAAGAUUCUCAGUCUUAUGGUCUGCUGGUUAUUUUGUGAUUUUUUUUUUCUUCCUCUUUCUUUUUAUUCAUUUAUGUACAGGGACAGAAUUAGCUUCAUUAAAUCCUGUUGUCUCCUUAUGUCCAAGAACAAAAAUAUUUUAGAAGUUAACACUGUACUCCUUUGCUCAGACAAUAUCUUCUUGCGAAGGAGCAAAGGAAAAAAAUAGCCCAUCUUCAGUGACUUACAUAAAAAUGUUUAAUUUGCAAAGCCAUGAAUCACUGUUACAAAUAUUAAUAUCACUGUUUAAGGUAGUGCUAGAUAAGCAUUGGUAAUCAAAGACACUGUGACUGUGUGUCUGUGCUGAAAAGUACCUUUUAUAUCAGAGACAGUCAUAGAUACAUGCCACCUUCCAGUAACUGGAUGUUUAUGGAUGGACCAAGAGGUGAGCUUCUCAGGGUCUUAAGUACUCUCCUUCCUCCCCUUUGUCUCUCCAAAAAUGGCUAGCCUCCACUUUCCUCUUGGGUCCUGGGUGUGGUGAGGGGGAAAAAGAGGAAUGGAGAUUAGCCCUGAACACCAUUGGUGUACCUGGGGACUUCAGUGAUCUUCUCUCAGUGAAAAGCAUGGAACUACAUGACCAGGUGAUUGUCAGUAUAAGAGCAGUUGUGUAUUCAUUCAGUUCUGUCUGCUUUAUUUAAUUUUAGUCAUUUGUAACCUUCCUAGCACCUGAUGGAGACAUAACUAGUCAGUUCAGUCAGAGCAGAGGUAAACCAUACUUCAUUAGAGUUUCUAGCACAUGUUGGGGCCAUCAGAAGCUUGAGGGUGGGGAGAAGUGGGCUGCAGUGUGCAAUAGCUGCAUGCACUGUAUAAGUAGGACCCCAUUAAGCUUAGAGAGGAGCUUCUACAGUCACUGACUUCUGCGUGCAAACCUGCACAGCUAUCCAGGGCAGCUAAGGAAAACAAAAUAUUAUAAUAAUAUCCCUGUAACAUGAAACAUCUUUCUUUCAUCCUUUCCUUGACCACAGAACCACAGAAUAGCUGAGGUUGGAAGGACCUCUUGGAGAAGGAUACCGAGGAGCACAUCGAGACUGCUUGUGAAAAUCUCCAAGUAGGAGAUGCCACGACUGCUUAGGGUGACGUCUAACAGUGCUCAGUCGCUCACACAGCACAAAAGUGCUCCUGGUGUUCAGACAGAACCUCUCAUGGUUUGAUUUGAAGAAACCCACUGUUACCAUCAGUUCUUAGCUGGUGUCUGGAGUGUCAGUAAGCUCGUGGCAACUUCAAGGUACAUGCAAAUAGAGAGCUUAGUAUCUAGAUAGAACUUGCCUACUACUUCUUAAAUGUGUAGACCUUUUAGAUUCUGGAACAUCUAAGAAAUGCCUCCUACAACAGGGAUCUGAAGUCCCCAGAAAAUACUAAAAAAGCCACCUGGAAUGGAAGUAAACGGCCCAGCUCCUUUCCAUUUUCCUCCUUCUGUCUUCCUUUCUGUCUUUGCAUGUCUUCCUCUCUCUGCCUGUCUGUCCCUUUCUUUCUAAAGUAGAGAAAUAAAUAACAUGAUUGAGAAGCUCAAGUAAACAGAACUUCAGAAAGAUUUUAGUUCCAGAGUUGAGAGAAGAUUUAGCUGAGGGUAUGAUAUUUUUGUUAUGACUUUGCCCCAUUAGCAUCAUGUAAUGCUGUGGAAUCUGCUAUAAAACAACAUUAUAACCCAUAAGAUAAAUAUUUUUUAGUUCUGUAAGCAAUAUUGUGAAUGAGAACAUGUGGCUGAAAUAAAUGAUGAUAAAACUCUUUUUUCACCAGGUCAUAUCAGCAUGAAAUAUGUGUUCUGUCAUUUAUAACGAUAAAAAGAUUUAUUAUUAAAGAGUUGUUUAUUUACACAUAUUACAAUUUUAUAGAAAAAUCACAAAAAUUUGGCUUAAAAGAGCAAAUAACAUUUGCAAACACUGUACAGCUGUUAAUGUCAGUUUACCACUGUGAUUUGGUUUUGUUCAUUUACAUGGCAGCUGGAGGCUUACCCUCCAUGGACUUUGCAGAGGCCAACAAAAGUCUUCCUUGUGAUUUCAAAGGUUCUCUUUCUUCCUGCAAGAAGAAGUCUUUCAGGACAUAGUUCAAUUUGCUAAUAUCAGACUAUUACGAUAGGGCCUGGAGACAAAGGCUGAAGGAUCUGAAUGCACAGAUCAUCUUUUCCUUUCUGCCUCCUAUACUGGGUAAGGACAUAGAAAGAAAUCAAAGGAUCUUAUCUCUAAAUACCUGUCUCUGUGGCUUGUGCUGUUGCUAGAACUUUGUUUUUUUCUGACAACCAAUUGGCCUAUAUGGCACUAAGUUUGCGGGCACCGGAUGGGUUUUGCCUUUCUCAAUGGGAGAGAAAGGUCCUUGGGGAAAAGCUAGUGGUGCUCAUUGAGAGGGCUUUAAACAAAGACUGAAGGGGGGCGAGGGGAAUAGUGAGCCAUUCCCAUGAUAAAGUGUGGGAUGGCAUAGCUAUGUUAAAGGCACAGGGUGCUAGCAGGGGCCUUGAAAUUCCUGCUGCCUUGAAAGGUACUGGAAAUACUGUAGCAUAUAUGCAAUCCUCUGAUGAUGAAGCAGCAACUGCUGGGGCAACAGGAGAAGGCAAUGGGGAAAAUCAAGGAAUUGAGGAGUUAAUCUUUAAGGAAGUGACAAGACCAGCUGCCCAACUGAAGUAUGUCUACACCAAUGCACACAGCCUGGUAAACAAACAGGAGAAGCUGGAACCUACAGUGCUACUAAAAAACAAUGAUAUAGUUGCUGUCAGUGAAAUCUGGCAGGAUGAUUCUCAUGACAGCUUCAAGCUGCUUAUAAGAGACAGGCAAGGAAGGAGGGGAUUGGGUGUUGCUAUCUACCUCAGGAAAGGAAUAGAAUGUGAAGAGCUAUCCCUAAAUAGUCAUGAGCAAGUCAAAAGCGUGAGGGUGACAAUUAGAGACUGAAGCAGGAGAGGGAGCCAUGUGAUUGGUGUCUACUACGGGCCACCUGAUCAAGCAAAGCCUAUUGAUGAAGACUGCUGCCUCCAGCUACAGGAGGCAUUCUGAUUGCAAGCACUCUUCCUGCAUGGGGAUUUCAACCACCCAGACAUCUGCUGGAAAGUAGCACAGGAGCAAUCCAGGAGUCUCCUGCAAUGCAUAAAGAAUAACUUCCUGAGUCAAGUAAUAGAUGGCCCCACCAAGGGGGAUGCAAUACUGGAUUUGCUGCUCACCAAGGCAAAUAAAUUGACUAGUGAUAUCAGGAUUGGAGUCUGCCUGGGCUGUAGUGACCAUGCUAUGGUUGAGCUCAUGCUCUGGAGGGAUAUGAGACAGGCAAAGAGUAAAAUUAGAAUUAGGAUUUUAGGAAAGCUGCCUUCCAGCUCUUCAGGAAGUUAGUCAACAAAACUUUCUGGGAAACUGCCCUCAUGGUCAAUGGUGCAGAGGAGAACUUUCCUCAAGUCACAAGAACUCUUCAUCCCAGGUGUAACAAGACAGGAAAAGAAGGCAAGAGACCAGCAUGGCUGAACUGGGGUUUGCUGGUCAAACUCCAUAGCAAGAAGAAAAUGCACAACUAUUAUAAAAUGUCUUGUUCAACGUCUUCAUCAAUGUUCUGGAUGAAAGGAUAGAGUCAACCCAGGUUUGCUGAUGCUACAAAGCUGCGCUGCCAUUCAACAAGUCCUGGACAGACUGGAGAGUUGGGCAAGAAGAAACGUGAUGAGGUUUAAGAAGAGCAAGUGUACAGUGUUGCACCUGGGGAGGAAUAACUGCAUGCAUCAGUACAGGUUAGGGGAUGACCUGCUGGAGAGCAGCUUUGCAGAGAAGGACCUGGUGGUCCUGGUGGACAAGAGGUUUGCCAUGAACCAGCAGUGUGCACCUGUGGCCAAGAAAGCCAGUGAUAUCCAGGGAUACAUUAAGAAAAUGGUGGCCAGCAGAUUGAGGGAAGUUAUUCCCUCUCUACUCUGUCCUGGUGAGGCCACAUUUAGACUACUGUGCCCAGUUCUGGGCUCCCCACUUCAAAAAGACAGAGAUCUCCUAGAAGGAGUCUAGUGGAGGGCCACAAAGAUGAUAAUGGGCCUGGAGCAUAUCCCAUGUGAGGAAAGGCCUCAUAGGUCUGUUCAGCCUGGAGAAAAGAAGACUGAGGGGGAUUUGAUAAAUGUUUAUAAAUAUCUAAAGGGAUGUGGGAGGCAAAUGGAUGAGGCCAGGCUCUUCUUGGUGGUGUAUAGCAGCAGGACAAGGAGUAACGGCCUAAAACUUGAACACAUGAUAUUCCGUACUAACAUGUGGAAGAACAUCUUUACGAUGAGGGUGACAAAACAUUGGAACAGAUUGCCCAGAGAUGUUGUGGAGUCUCCUGUUGUGGAGAUAUUAAAGACCCAUCUGAACACCUACCUGUGCGAGGUAUUGUAGGGUACCUGCUUUAGCAGGGAGGUUGAACUUGAUGAUCCCUUGAGGUCAAAUCCAACCCCUGCAAAUCUGUGAUUUUGUGAUCGUGAUUUUAUUCUCCCGCUGUCUCUGACAAGAGUUAGUUAAUGUGCUUGUGUGUAUAUGCAAAGUAUUAUCAGAAGUUACCUGCAGUGACAGAGGCUUUAAGGUUUUGUUUAUGAAGAAGAGAGCAAUGCUAUAAUUACAUAUUUUUCCUCCUCGCUUUUAGGAAUGUCACACUACAUUACCUUUUUGUUUCUUAUUUUCCUUUGAAGCCAGAAGAACUGGAGUGAGUUGUUUCACAAUUUUGAUUUUUCCAGACAGAAGAAAACAUGUAAUCUGAAAGUGCUAAUUUGAGUGCAACCUGUUAUUUCAGUUGAGAAAAGAGUGAAUUUCUCAUUUAGAUAUUAAGUAAGGAUUGUUUUUCCAUUAGAGGAACUCUGAAGCUGGUAGGGUCAGUUGUUUGGAUGAAAAUAAGGGUUAUAUGUCUUUGAAAACUCACACUGAUUAUGUGUCAGACCAGAUGAAUUAUUUUGGGAAGAAUUCCUGUAUAGACUGGUUAGUAUUUUAUCAGAAAUAAAGCAACCAGAGUGGGGGAAGAAGAAA